rnacentral:rRNA from 1 species
CCUACGGGAGGCAGCAGUCGAGAAUCAUUCACAAUGGGGGAAACCCUGAUGGUGCGACGCCGCGUGGGGGAAUGAAGGUCUUCGGAUUGUAAACCCCUGUCAUGUGGGAGCAAAUUAAAAAGAUAGUACCACAAGAGGAAGAGACGGCUAACUCUGUGCCAGCAGCCGCGGUAAUACAGAGGUCUCAAGCGUUGUUCGGAAUCACUGGGCGUAAAGCGUGCGUAGGCUGUUUCGUAAGUCGUGUGUGAAAGGCGCGGGCUCAACCCGCGGACGGCACAUGAUACUGCGAGACUAGAGUAAGGGAGAGGGAACCGGAAUGCUCGGUGUAGCAGUGAAAUGCGUAGAUAUCGAGAGGAACACUCGUGGCGAAGGCGGGUUCCUGGACAUUAACUGACGCUGAGGCACGAAGGCCAGGGGAGCGAAAGGGAUUAGAUACCCCAGUAGUC